rnacentral:rRNA from 1 species
CGCAGCCGCGGUAAUUCCAGCUCCAAUAGCGUAUAUUAAAGUUGUUGCAGUUAAAAAGCUCGUAGUUGAAUUUCGGGAUCAAUUUAUUGGUCGUGCUAUUGUACGUACUGGUAUUAUUGAUUCCUACCUUCUGACGAACCAUGAUGUCAUUAAUUUGGUGUCUUGGGGAAUCAGGACUGUUACUUUGAAAAAAUUAGAGUGUUUAAAGCAGGCUCACGCUUGAAUACAUUAGCAUGGAAUAACGAAAUAGGACGUUUGAUUCUAUUUUGUUGGUUUCUAGGAUCGACGUAAUGAUUAAUAGGGAUAGUUGGGGGCAUUAGUAUUCAAUUGUCAGAGGUGAAAUUCUUGGAUUUAUUGAAGACUAACUACUGCGAAAGCAUUUGCCAAGGAUGUUUUCAUUAAUCAAGAACGAAAGUUAGGGGAUCGAAGACGAUCAGAUACCGUCGUAGUCUUAACCAUAAACUAUGCCGACUAGGGAUCGGAUGAUGUUAAUUUUAAUGUACU